GACGAACGCUGGCGGCGCGCUUAACACAUGCAAGUCGAACGGUAAGGCCCUUCGGGGUACACGAGUGGCGAACGGGUGAGUAACACGUGGGUGAUCUGCCCUGCACUUCGGGAUAAGCCUGGGAAACUGGGUCUAAUACCGGAUAGGACCACUGCCUGCAUGGGUGGUGGUGGAAAGCUUUUGCGGUGUGGGAUGGGCCCGCGGCCUAUCAGCUUGUUGGUGGGGUGAUGGCCUACCAAGGCGACGACGGGUAGCCGGCCUGAGAGGGUGACCGGCCACACUGGGACUGAGAUACGGCCCAGACUCCUACGGGAGGCAGCAGUGGGGAAUAUUGCACAAUGGGCGCAAGCCUGAUGCAGCGACGCCGCGUGAGGGAUGACGGCCUUCGGGUUGUAAACCUCUUUCAGCACCGACGAGGCGCAAGUGACGGUAGGUGCAGAAGAAGGACCGGCCAACUACGUGCCAGCAGCCGCAGUAA
rnacentral:rRNA from 1 species